GCCGCGAGGUGAAGCCAAUCCCAAAAAGCCGUCCACAGUUCGGAUUGGAGUCUGCAACUCGACUCCAUGAAGCCGGAAUCGCUAGUAAUCGUGGAUCAGCAUGCCACGGUGAAUACGUUCCCGGGCCUU
rnacentral:rRNA from 1 species